rnacentral:rRNA from 1 species
UACGGAGGGUGCAAGCGUUAUCCGGAUUCACUGGGUUUAAAGGGUGCGUAGGCGGGCAGGUAAGUCCGUGGUGAAAUCUCUGAGCUUAACUCAGAAACUGCCAUGGAUACUAUUUGUCUUGAAUAUUGUGGAGGUAAGCGGAAUAUGUCAUGUAGCGGUGAAAUGCUUAGAUAUGACAUAGAACACCAAUUGCGAAGGCAGCUUGCUACAGGGAUAUUGACACUGAGGCACGAAAGCGUGGGGAUCAAACAGG